rnacentral:rRNA from 1 species
UACGUAGGGUGCGAGCGUUGUCCGGAAUUAUUGGGCGUAAAGAGCUCGUAGGCGGUCUGUCGCGUCGGUCGUGAAAACUUGGGGCUUAACCCCGAGCUUGCGGUCGAUACGGGCAUGACUGGAGUUCGGCAGGGGAGACUGGAAUUCCUGGUGUAGCGGUGAAAUGCGCAGAUAUCAGGAGGAACACCGGUGGCGAAGGCGGGUCUCUGGGCCGAUACUGACGCUGAGGAGUGAAAGCGUGGGGAGCAAACAGG